UACGUAGGGGGCAAGCGUUGUCCGGAAUCAUUGGGCGUAAAGCGCGUGUAGGCGGCUCGAUAAGUCUGCUGUGAAAGUUCAGGGCUCAACCCUGAAAUGCCGGUGGAAACUGUCGAGCUAGAGUCCGGAAGAGGUGAGUGGAACUCCUGGUGUAGCGGUGAAAUGCGCAGAUAUCAGGAGGAACACCAAUGGCGAAGGCAGCUCACUGGGACGGUACUGACGCUGAGACGCGAAAGCGUGGGGAGCAAACAGG
rnacentral:rRNA from 1 species